CGGUCAAGUUACUAAGGGUGCAUGGCGGAUGCCUAGGCGCUAGAAGGCGAUGAAGGACGUUGUAGUCUACGAUAAGCCCAGGGAAGCUGACAAACAAGCAUUGAUCCUGGGAUCUCCGAAUGGGGAAACCCGGCAGCACAGGGCAACCUGAUGCUGUCGCAUCCGGAUGAAUUCAUAGUCCGGUUUGCGCGAACGCAGGGAACUGAAACAUCUAAGUACCUGUAGGAAAAGAAAUCAAAUGUGAGACUCCGUUAGUAGCGGCGAGCGAAGGCGGAAUAGCCCAAACCAGACUUCGGUCUGGGGUUGCGGGCGACCGAUAUAGGAUUGGUAGAGCGAGCAGAAUGGUCUGGAAAGGCCGGCCAUAGAGGGUGACAGCCCCGUAAGCGAAGUUCGCGCCAACCUUAGGUCGUACCAGAGUAGCACGGUCCUCGUGGAAGACCGUGUGAAACCGGGGAGACCACUCUCCAAGGCUAAGUACUCUCUAGCGACCGAUAGUGAACAAGUAGGGCGACUGAAAGGUGAAAAGUACCCCUUCUAGGGGAGUUAAAAGUACCUGAAACCAUACACUUACAAGCGGUCGGAGCACUAUGCCCGCAAGGGAAUGUGUGACGGCGUACCUUUUGCAUAAUGGACCGGCGAGUGCAUGUACACGCCAAGGCUAAGCAGCGGUCGCUGCGGAGCCGUAGUGAAAGCGAGCCUUAAGAU
rnacentral:rRNA from 1 species